rnacentral:rRNA from 1 species
UUAAGUGACUAAGCGUACACGGUGGAUGCCUAGGCAGUCAGAGGCGAUGAAGGGCGUGCUAAUCUGCGAAAAGCGUCGGUAAGGUGAUAUGAACCGUUAUAACCGGCGAUACCCGAAUGGGGAAACCCAGUGUGUUUCGACACACUAUCAUGUCAUGAAUACAUAGUGGCAUGAGGCGAACCGGGGGAACUGAAACAUCUAAGUACCCCGAGGAAAAGAAAUCAACCGAGAUUCCCCCAGUAGCGGCGAGCGAACGGGGAGGAGCCCAGAACCUGAAUCGGCUUGUGUGUUAGUGGAAGCGUCUGGAAAGUCGCGCAGCAAAGGGUGAUAGCCCCGUACACUAAAAUGCACAGGUCGUGAGUUCGAUGAGUAGGGCGGGACACGUGACAUCCUGUCUGAAUAUGGGGGGACCAUCCUCCAAGGCUAAAUACUCCUGACUGACCGAUAGUGAACCAGUACCGUGAGGGAAAGGCGAAAAGAACCCCGGCGAGGGGAGUGAAAUAGAACCUGAAACCGUGUACGUACAAGCAGUGGGAGCACCUUCGUGGUGUGACUGCGUACCUUUUGUAUAAUGGGUCAGCGACUUAUAUUUUGUAGCAAGGUUAACCGUAUAGGGGAGCCGUAGGGAAACCGAGUCUUAACUGGGCGAAUAGUUGCAAGGUAUAGACCCGAAACCCGGUGAUCUAGCCAUGGGCAGGUUGAAGGUUGGGUAACACUAACUGGAGGACCGAACCGACUAAUGUUGAAAAAUUAGCGGAUGACUUGUGGCUGGGGGUGAAAGGCCAAUCAAACCGGGAGAUAGCUGGUUCUCCCCGAAAGCUAUUUAGGUAGCGCCUCGUGAACUCAUCUUCGGGGGUAGAGCACUGUUUCGGCUAGGGGGCCAUCCCGGCUUACCAAACCGAUGCAAACUCCGAAUACCGAAGAAUGUUAUCACGGGAGACACACGGCGGGUGCUAACGUCCGUCGUGAAGAGGGAAACAACCCAGACCGCCAGCUAAGGUCCCAAAGUCAUGGUUAAGUGGGAAACGAUGUGGGAAGGCACAGACAGCCAGGAUGUUGGCUUAGAAGCAGCCAUCAUUUAAAGAAAGCGUAAUAGCUCACUGGUCGAGUCGGCCUGCGCGGAAGAUGUAACGGGGCUAAACCAUGCACCGAAGCUGCGGCAGCGACGCUUAGGCGUUGUUGGGUAGGGGAGCGUUCUGUAAGCCGUUGAAGGUGGCCUGUGAGGGUUGCUGGAGGUAUCAGAAGUGCGAAUGCUGACAUAAGUAACGAUAAAGCGGGUGAAAAGCCCGCUCGCCGGAAGACCAAGGGUUCCUGUCCAACGUUAAUCGGGGCAGGGUGAGUCGACCCCUAAGGCGAGGCUGAAAAGCGUAGUCGAUGGGAAACAGGUUAAUAUUCCUGUACUUGGUGUUACUGCGAAGGGGGGACGGAGAAGGCUAGGCUGGCCGGGCGACGGUUGUCCCGGUUUAAGCGUGUAGGGGGUGUGACCUGGUAAAUCCGGUUACAUACUAACCCUGAGGCGUGAUGACGAUGCACUACGGUGCAGAAGUAGUUGAUGCCCUGCUUCCAGGAAAAUCCUCUAAGCUCCAGGUAACAUUAAAUCGUACCCCAAACCGACACAGGUGGUCAGGUAGAGAAUACCAAGGCGCUUGAGAGAACUCGGGUGAAGGAACUAGGCAAAAUGGUGCCGUAACUUCGGGAGAAGGCACGCUGGCAUGUAGGUGAAGUCCCUUGCGGAUGGAGCUGAAGCCAGUCGAAGAUACCAGCUGGCUGCAACUGUUUAAUAAAAACACAGCACUGUGCAAACACGAAAGUGGACGUAUACGGUGUGACGCCUGCCCGGUGCUGGAAGGUUAAUUGAUGGGGUCAGCCGCAAGGCGAAGCUCUUGAUCGAAGCCCCAGUAAACGGCGGCCGUAACUAUAACGGUCCUAAGGUAGCGAAAUUCCUUGUCGGGUAAGUUCCGACCUGCACGAAUGGCGUAAUGAUGGCCAGGCUGUCUCCACCCGAGACUCAGUGAAAUUGAACUCGCUGUGAAGAUGCAGUGUACCCGCGGCAAGACGGAAAGACCCCGUGAACCUUUACUAUAGCUUGACACUGAACAUUGAGCCUUGAUGUGUAGGAUAGGUGGGAGGCUUUGAAGCGUGGACGCCAGUCUGCGUGGAGCCAUCCUUGAAAUACCACCCUUUAAUGUUUGAUGUUCUAACUCGGCCCCAUAAUCUGGGGUGAGGACAGUGUCUGGUGGGUAGUUUGACUGGGGCGGUCUCCUCCCAAAGAGUAACGGAGGAGCACGAAGGUUAGCUAAUCACGGUCGGACAUCGUGAGGUUAGUGCAAAGGCAUAAGCUAGCUUGACUGCGAGAGUGACGGCUCGAGCAGGUACGAAAGUAGGUCUUAGUGAUCCGGUGGUUCUGAAUGGAAGGGCCAUCGCUCAACGGAUAAAAGGUACUCCGGGGAUAACAGGCUGAUACCGCCCAAGAGUUCAUAUCGACGGCGGUGUUUGGCACCUCGAUGUCGGCUCAUCACAUCCUGGGGCUGAAGUAGGUCCCAAGGGUAUGGCUGUUCGCCAUUUAAAGUGGUACGCGAGCUGGGUUUAGAACGUCGUGAGACAGUUCGGUCCCUAUCUGCCGUGGGCGUUGGAAGAUUGAGAGGGGUUGCUCCUAGUACGAGAGGACCGGAGUGAACGCACCACUGGUGUUCGGGUUGUCAUGCCAAUGGCAUUGCCCGGUAGCUAAGUGCGGAAAAGAUAAGCGCUGAAAGCAUCUAAGCGCGAAACUUGCCUCAAGAUGAGUCUUCCCU